AAAGCAGUCUAUGUCAUACUUCCAAGAAAAGCUUGCACUGUCAUAAACAAAGAAUGCCUGUACCAUAACCGACACAGGUGGGUAGGUAGAGUAUACUAAGGGGCGCGAGAUAACUCUCUCUAAGGAACUCGGCAAAAUGACUCCGUAACUUCGGGAGAAGGAGUGCCUUAUUUCUAAGGUUGCAAUAACAAGAUCCAAGCAACUGUUUACCAAAAACACAGGUCUCCGCUAAGUCGUAAGACGAUGUAUGGGGGCUGACGCCUGCCCAGUGCCAGAAGGUUAAAGAAGUUGGUUAGCAUUAGCGAAGCUGAUAACUGAAGCCCUGGUGAACGGCGGCCGUAACUAUAACGGUCCUAAGGUAGCGAAAUUCCUUGUCGGGUAAGUUCCGACCCGCACGAAAGGCGUAAUGAUUUGGAUACUGUCUCGGAGAGGGGCUCGGUGAAAUAGACUUGUCUGUGAAGAUGCGGACUACCUGCACCUGGACAGAAAGACCCUAUGAAGCUUUACUGUAACUUGAGAUUGAAAUUGGACUUUAUUUGCGCAGUAUAGGUGGGAGGCGUUGAGAAUAAUCUUGCGGGAUUGUUGGAGCCAUCAGUGAGAUACCACUCUUGUAAUGUUAGAUUUCUAACUUUGUAUCAUUAUCUGGUCAAAGAACAGUUUCAGGCGGGCAGUUUGACUGGGGCGGUCGCCUCCCAAAGGGUAACGGAGGCGCACAAAGGUUUCCUCUGAACGGGUAGAAAUCGUAUCUAGAGUGUAAAGGCAUAAGGAAGCUUGACUGUGAGACCUACAAGUCGAGCAGGGACGAAAGUCGGUCUUAGUGAUCUGACGGUGCUGAGUGGAAAGGCCGUCACUCAACGGAUAAAAGUUACUCUAAGGAUAACAGGCUGAUCUCCCCCAAGAGUUCACAUCGACGGGGAGGUUUGGCACCUCGAUGUCGGCUCAUCGCAUCCUGGGGCGGUAGUCCGUCCCAAGGGUUGGGCUGUUCGCCCAUGAAAGCGGUACGCGAGCUGGGUUCAGAACGUCGUGAGACAGUUCGGUCCAUAUCCGGUGUAGGCGUUAGAAUAUUGAGAGGAGCCUUCUCUAGUACGAGAGGACCGAGAAGGACAUACCUCUGGUGUACCAGUUAUCGUGCCAACGGUAAACGCUGGGUAGCUAUGUAUGGAGUGGAUAACCGCUGAAAGCAUCUAAGUGGGAAGCCCACCUCAAGAUAAG
rnacentral:rRNA from 1 species